rnacentral:rRNA from 1 species
AACGAACGCUGGCGGCAUGCCUAACACAUGCAAGUCGAACGAGACCUUCGGGUCUAGUGGCGCACGGGUGCGUAACGCGUGGUAACCUGCCCUUAGGUUCGGAAUAACUCCCCGAAAGGGGUGCUAAUACCGGAUAAUGUCUUCGGACCAAAGAUUUAUCGCCUUUGGAUGGGCCUGCGUUGGAUUAGCUAGUUGGUAGGGUAAAAGCCUACCAAGGCGACGAUCCAUAGCUGGUCUGAGAGGAUGAUCAGCCACACUGGGACUGAGACACGGCCCAGACUCCUACGGGAGGCAGCAGUGGGGAAUAUUGGACAAUGGGCGAAAGCCUGAUCCAGCAAUGCCGCGUGAGUGAUGAAGGCCUUAGGGUUGUAAAGCUCUUUUACCCGGGAUGAUAAUGACAGUACCGGGAGAAUAAGCUCCGGCUAACUCCGUG